rnacentral:lncRNA from 1 species
UUUUACUGUCCGGUGUGUUUUUGGGCUCUGUUGAUCACCUCCCUGGGGAAUGGCAAUCAGGAAAGUUGAGACAGACUGUACCAUAUGGGCUCUCCAAUUACAGAGGCAGCUUCCGGGGCAAGAGAUCUGCAGAUCCUAUCUGCAGGACUUUGCCACCAUUUGAAGGGCCACGGAACCGAUGUUCUUGCACGGAACAAGAUGAUGAUGCCUGCAUUCGUUUUUGCACCGGAACUGAGGACAACAGAAGCAAUUCAAGGACAGCAGGAAAACAUCAAGACAUGGACAUGGAACAGCCUCCUGAAAAGUGGCCCUGACAGCACAGAUGCAUGAACAGAG